UGAAGGGAAGACCCCUGAUGUUGCAGGGCCCCACACCCAGGCCAGGACUGCACCAUGAUCCCAGGAGGCAUCACAUCAUGGCUCAUCAGGCCACCAGUAUUACACUACCUUGCUCUUUAGAGUUCUCUGCUGGAUGUCUCAAAUCCAAUCAGCGUGUGACUGGUUGCACUUACACACUCCUGCCACUAUUGCAAAGGUAGACAUUGCAAUCACUACAGAUGAGAAGAUGGGACCACAGGUUUCACCAUUAUCAAACUCUUGUGCAUUUGAUGCUUGCCUAUGGCGAGGCAGUGGCCCCUACUUGUUUAAGAUGGAGAAACAUCAGGACUACAUUAAGGAAGGAAUGUUUUAUUUAAAGCCUCCGUUGGUAACACACUACCCUAUUUCCCCUUACAAUUUGCUCACUCUAAUUGUUAAAACAUUUCCUGCUAUUUCUGAGCUGUGGAGACCACAAAAAUGUACAGAUGAUGCUCGACCAGGUCUACAUAGAGGAGCAAGUUUGUCUUUCAUCUGUCUUUUAAAAGUGUUUGAGACACUUCUUGGAUUACUUGUUCCUCUUUUACUACUACUUGUUAUUUAGAACUAACCUCCUUAAUGAUACAGGUUUUUAACUGAGUAGUUAGUGAGUCCUCAACGUUCGGAAAGUUUCGAGUGAAAUUCAGCAAGACAGAACACAGACAAGCAAACCCACCAGUAGAUGUAUAGGAAGAAAUGUAGCUGCAAAACUGAUUGCAGUGUGAACUGGGGAUUGUUGGACUCUAUUCCCUGAUUUAUAGUUCUAUUUUAAAGAAUGUAAAAUGCUAUCUCACUUUUAAAAUUUGGGGUAUCUGUUGUAAUUUAAUUUUCAAGGUGAAUUACAAACAAGGAGAAAUUCUUUUAUCAGAUAUUUAGAAACUAAUGGCAUUCUCGAUUAUUUGACAAAACUUUUAAGUACCUAAAUAACAUUAUUAAUCUUAACAGAAUCCAGUUCCAUUUCAGGCAUAAGAUUCUACUUCCGGAGAACAAUUACAUGUGUUAAGAUUUAACUAAAUUUUCCUACUGCCCUGCGUUCUCAAUUUUCUCUGUAUAUCUCAUAUCUCUCAGAGCUCCCAACAUGAGAAAUGAGAAAUGAAAGUAAAUCAAUACCCAGAUGUGUCAAACAUAUUUUAAUCAAGUUUCUCUGUGAAAGAAGACAAUUGUUUUGUGAAGCAUUCCGAACAUAAUAGACUUUAUGAUGGCAUGAAGGAUGAGCUCUGGGGUCCUAUUCAUGUUUGACAUUCUAUAAAGGGCUGAGAAAACACUUUUUGAAGGAAGAUCAACAAGAUAAAAAAGUAAAUGUUACCAAGAAUCUAUAAGUACUGACUCCUACAAGAGAAAGAAUGCAGUAAACAAAAUGACCAGCCAACCAACCAAUGAAAACCAAGUGUGUUUUGUCAAUUUUCACACCUAAGUGAACUGAGAAAAUGCCCUCUGCUUCCUUCUGUGGUGUCAGGAAGAAAUUCAAACCGUACAUGCCCUUCUCCAAAAGCAUCUACCCCACUUAUUGUCUUGUGUAGCCACAAUGGGGAGGGGAAAAAUAAGGGAGAAAGUGGGAAGACUGGCUUCAGUGAAAAGAAAUGAAGUACCAUGCAGAAGCUAUUAAGUUUCUUACCCAAAGUAUUUUAAAUAUCAUCAUCAAGAGUGGCAUCUGUUGAUUAGAUUGUUUCUUACGGUUUAGAAGUAAGUUCAAUUGCUUUAUAACCUAUCUGUGGUAUGAUCUAUCCCUAAUAUGACAUCUAGUGUGAUAUCUGUUAU